rnacentral:rRNA from 1 species
AGCACGGGUACUUGUACCUGGUGGCGAGCGGCGGACGGGUGAGUAAUACCUAGGAAUCUGCCUGGUAGUGGGGGAUAACGUUCGGAAACGGACGCUAAUACCGCAUACGUCCUACGGGAGAAAGCAGGGGACCUUCGGGCCUUGCGCUAUCAGAUGAGCCUAGGUCGGAUUAGCUAG